rnacentral:rRNA from 1 species
AGUCAAUAGAUACCCAGGUAGUCCAUGCCGUAAACGAUGAUUGCUAGGUGUGGGGGGUCUGACCCCUUCCCGUGCCGGAGUUAAACAACAAUAAGCAAUCCACCUGGGGAGUACGGCCGCAAGGUUGAAACUCAAAGGAAUUGACGGGGGCCCGGCACAAGCAGUGGAGUAUGUGGUUUAAAUUCGAAGCAACGCGAAGAACCUUACCAGGUCUUGACAUCCACCGAAUCCUGUAGAGAUACGGGAGUGCCCUCCGGGGAACGGUGAGACAGGUGGUGCAUGGUUGUCGUCAGCUCGUGUCGUGAGAUGUUGGGUUAAGUCCCGCAACGAGCGCAACCCUUGUGAAUAGUUGCUACGAAAGAGCACUCUAUUCAGACUGCCGUUGACAAAACCGGAGGAAGUGGGGAUGACGUCAAAUCAUCAUGCCCCUUAUGACCUGGGCUACACACGUACUACAAUGGCCGUUAACAGAGGGAUGCAAUGCCGCGA